CAGCCGUAAACAAUGUGCGUUAGGUGUGUCGGUAACCACGCGUUACUGAUGCGCCGAAGAGAAAUCGUGAAACGCACCACCUGGGAAGUACGGUCGCAAGGCUGAAACUUAAAGGAAUUGGCGGGGGAGCACCACAACAGGUGGAGCCUGCGGUUUAAUUGGAUUCAACGCCGGACAUCUCACCGGAUAAGACAGCUGAAUGAUUGCCGGGCUGAAGACCCUGCAUGACCAGCUGAGAGGAGGUGCAUGGCGUAGUCGUGU
rnacentral:rRNA from 1 species